rnacentral:rRNA from 1 species
GAUGAACGCUAGCUACAGGCUUAACACAUGCAAGUCGAGGGGCAGCACAGAGAUAGCUUGCUAUCUUGGGUGGCGACCGGCGCACGGGUGAGUAACGCGUAUCCAACCUGCCCAUUACUCUGGGAUAGCCUUGCGAAAGUAAGAUUAAUACCGGAUGUUGUUAAAAACCCGCAUGAGUUUUUAACCAAAGAUUUAUUGGUAAUGGAUGGGGAUGCGUGUCAUUAGGUAGUUGGUGAGGUAACGGCUCACCAAGCCUACGAUGUCUAGGGGUUCUGAGAGGAAGGUCCCCCACACUGGAACUGAGACACGGUCCAGACUCCUACGGGAGGCAGCAGUGAGGAAUAUUGGCCAAUGGACGAGAGUCUGAACCAGCCAAGUAGCGUGCAGGAUGACGGCCCUCUGGGUUGUAAACUGCUUUUAGUUGGGAAUAAAAAGAGGGACGUGUCCCUAAUUGUAUGUACCAUCAGAAAAAGGACCGGCUAAUUCCGUGCCAGCAGCCGCAGUAAUAC